CAGUCGCCGCGGUAAUACGUAGGGCGCGAGCGUUAUCCGGAUUCACUGGGUUUAAAGGGUGCGUAGGCGGAUCUGUAAGUCAGUGGUGAAAUCUCCAGGCUUAACCUGGAAACUGCCGUUGAUACUAUAGGUCUUGAAUUUUGUGGAGGUUAGCGGAAUAUGUCAUGUAGCGGUGAAAUGCAUAGAUAUGACAUAGAACACCAAUUGCGAAGGCAGCUGGCUACACAACUAUUGACGCUGAGGCACGAAAGCGUGGGGAUCAAACAGGAUUAGAUACCCGGGUAGUCCCUGUCUCUUAUAC
rnacentral:rRNA from 1 species